CAGGGGCUGUGGUGAAGGGUCUUCAGUUAGCCUUUUACUGUGAGAGAGACCCUGCGGGGAGACAGAGCAGGAGAGGAGGAAAAACGGAAACUGUCUAUGGAGGCUGAGACCCUUAUGAGACAGUCCAAUCAGAAAUCUUAAAACUGUGGGGAAGUAUCUAGAAGCCCUGAAAUCUUUGGUGAAGGUGUGUUAAAAAUCACAUUAGGGAGUUCCCAUCGUGGCGCAGUGGUUAACGAAUCCGACUAGGAACCCUGAGGUUGCAGGUUCAGUCCCUGGCCUCGCUCAGUGGGUUAAGGAUCCGGUGUUGCCGUGAGCUGUGGUGUAGGUCGCAGACGUGGCUCGGAUUCCGCGUUGCUGUGGCUCUGGCGUAGGCCGGCGGCUACAGCUCUGAUUAGACCCCUAGCCUGGGAACCUCCAUAUGCCGCGGGAGCGGCCCAAAGGAAAUAGCAAAAAGACAAAAAAAAAAAAAAAAAAAAAAAAAAACAAAAAAAAAAAAAUCACAUUAGAUCUAGAUGGGACCUUAUAUUGGGAGGCUGUAUAUUCAGUAAUAAACUGGGACACUUUUGAGAGUGAAAGAGAAUGUUAUGAAUAAAAUAGCCAGGAACAACAGGUGUAAGUGGGGACUGUGCUGGACAAACUGGCUCAGUGUUCACUCUGCUUAUUAAAGUAGUUCUUGGAGAGGAUGCGCUAUAGACUGUGAGGAAAAUUUCCAAAAUAAUCACGCAGUUGGGAAGGCGGGGAGAAUGAGGUGUAGAGAGCAGUUCUUUUCCAGAAUUUGGUGACAGGAAGAAUAUACAAUUUACAACAGCUCUCCGGGUGUGUCUUGUCCCCUCUAUCCCACGCUGAGGGUGGCAGAGGUAUGAGGGUCACAAGGUGGCAGAAGUUCUGGAACCCAGAGCUUCACACUGGGCUUGGCACAAAGAAGUUGAUGAUAGGGCACUUAAUGACCGACGGAACUCACGUAUCUUGUUUUCCAGGUCUCUCAAUUUCCGGAACAAAGCGGAUUCCAGGUGCGCUUGCGCAGACUCCAGCGUGGGAGGGGGUGCUCUCAGGGUCCUCAACGCAAUUCCAUCCUCGGGAGAAACUUGAUAUGCCCAAGUAUGAACCCAACUUAAAGAGGAAGAAUGAUAUGAACUGGAGGUGCUUUCGGAAACUUGCUGCAGAUCUGAGGUCUGAAGAUGCAGAGAAAUGGCUUUUACCACGUUUCACUUGGAAAGGUAGGAAAGUUCUUUGACAC
rnacentral:lncRNA from 1 species